CGUGAAUAUUCACACGAUGCACGGUAAUGUAAAAACUAUACUUUUGGUUAAUGAUAGUCAGAUUUGGGAAAACACACACUCUUACAAGAGACAUACACACAGACACUAGAUGCCUUGGUAGAAGGCUACCAUUAGUAGGAAACAAAGGGUUUUCUAGGACAGUUCAAACAUUUUACAAAACAUUGUUCAAAACAUCUUACAAAACAUCUUACAAAUGCUUUCAUACAAACACAAACAUUAAUAUACUUAUGAUAUCACCAGCUUUAAGCUGAUACUCACUUUCAAAAUAACUUGUAUUUUCAGGUCACCAAUAGACAGGUACAGGNGUGAUACUCGGUUUCAAAAUAACUUGUAUUCUCAGGUCACCAAUAGACAGGUACAUGUGCCAGGUUUUGAGAAGAUGGAGUUCGUUCAAGUCUCGUCUUUUAUUUUUAUGUGUAUAUUUUGGUGUCUAUAUAACAUGACAGAACACACAUGUAUGAAAUUAUAUUAUUAGUGCAAUGGAUGAUGUUGUUGCUUGUUUACUAUUAUUCAUUGUUGUGAUACUGUACAUGACGUCCUCCACCCCAAAACGUUUCCGCCAUUCACGGUUUUGGGGUGUGACACUAUGCACCUAGGUCGAAUCUCUUCCAAUCACGCAGAGGGUGGAACAUAUGACUAACUAAAGUUUUAGAGGGAUUGAGAAAAAGAAUGGUGCAUAUACUGUGUACCAGGUCGGAUUGUGAGUCACACAUUGAAUUCUUGAAGGUAUGUCUU
rnacentral:lncRNA from 1 species